CAACAGAUGACAAGUGUAUUAAAAUGAUCCAAACAGCACGGCAAUAUGAGGACCUGACUGAUAUUUGCAUUAGCAACUCGCAAGGUGAAGAGAUUUAAUUCGUGGCGGCUUGCUGAGGAAGGGUUAAUGACCCACAAGCUGACACCUGACCUUUGGGACCGGGCCCUCUGCUCAUCCGUGGGCUAUAAUAAGAGACUAGCACUUCCUCGCCUCAAAACUCGAAUGUCAUCCCCAGUGGGAGAAGGCCUCGUGAAACGGACAUCGUUGACAUCGCCUGACAUCACUCGCAUCGCCUGACAUUGCCUGCCAUCGCCUGACAUCAUCUAUCAUCGUUUGAUAUCCUCUAACAUCGUCUAACAUCGCAUGGCAUCGUCUGACAUCGCUGACAUCGACUAACAUCACUUGCAUCGUCUGACAUCGCAUGACAUCGCCUGCCAUCACUCGCACCGUCUGUCAUCUAGUGACGCCCAGCGACGACGAUGAAGAUGCUCGCAGGCCUUCUUGUUGCUCUGAUGCUGGCUACACUGAGCUCCUCACAACCCAUUGUUACAGAUGUUUCGGAUAAAGCUGCAAGCACUGGUUUCAGGCGAACGUCCAGUCGACUCAUUGAUCUCAUCUUGCGACAGAAAUGCCAAGAGUGGCUUCGGACUGGAGUCACCACGCUGCCUCCUUUUUGCCAAAACAUGUAUCGAUGAUACAAAUUGUCCUUUGAACACAUUUGAUGGACAUUUCCUUCUUGUAAUAUUUUCAUUCCGACUGAUGAAAUUUUUGACAAACUUAUUUUGCAUAAAAAAAGCAACAGGACAAAACAAAAUGUAAACAUUUGUCAAGAAACAUUCUGCUGGUGACUACGCGGUCUGUGUUCAAACUCAAGUCUACAUCAUGUCUUCUGAGUGUAAUUGUAAGACUUUCACCGCUUCCCCUAUAAACCUAUUUUUGCUGUACACAACCUGAUUUCUCAGUGUAAACAGCCUGACUUGUUUACUUGUUUGUGUAAGCAAUCCAUGCUGAACAGUGAUAGGGUGUUGACCUCAGUGCUAAGGUCGCGAGAGAGCGAGGAUUGUUCUUUUUUCUCUCAUCUUCCUGAAAAGACCCUGGUGACCUGGACAAUAAUCCAUGCCUCAAAUCUCGGGUUACCAGGACAACCAAGUACUGCUCAAAACUUCCCUCAUAACAGGUUACAGAACUGUCAAUAGACAGGGAUUUACACUUCAAGUGAACUAUAGGGUCAGGGCUCGACUGCUGAAUACUUGCAGGAGAUAAACAUUUUUAUCCAUGUAACUCUAUGUAACUGCAUGGGAUUAAUGUUUCAAUAUAUAUAUGUGUGUAUGUAUUACUUUAUUUAAGAAAUUGUGCUUACAAAUGUGAGUAUUUAAGAACAAUUUGCAGUGUUUAAUGUUGUCUGAGUUCUCACCCAUUCAUGUUAAUCUCAGCUCACAAAGAUAUCCAGGGUCGGAUUUUCGGUUGGGAAUGUGGAUUACUUGGAUUUGGAUUGUGGAUUAGGAAUGGGGUUUGAUAGUGCUAAGAUCUGUGUGUGGACAAAAUACUCAUGCAUAUACAUUCAUAUUAUAUUUAUAUUAUAUACACAGUUUGUAUUUGUGUGUGAUCUAGAUAAGUAUAAAUGCACUUGUCAGAGAUGAGUACUUUGUCACUGAAGAUGCUUUUCCUUCCUUUCUUCAUUCCACUAAUAAUUUCUUUCUUUGAACUGCACCCUUUUAUUCCUCGAUCCUUACUCUUUCUUCCAUUUUUCAACUGCAGUAUUCCGCAUCUGUAGAGCUGAUGUGAGAAUAUACACAAGAUAAAUCAUAAAAUUAUAUAUAAUGUCCUCCCAAAUGAAGAUCCCAAGAAACAAUAUCAGAAAUAUUCCGAGAUUUUCGGAUCUUAUCAAGCUGUUAUAAUAAAUCAGGAGUCGGGCCUAAGGCGAGGAAUAAGAUUGUAGAGUGCGGUGCAGUCACGUGACCAGACUCAAGACGAUGUCACGAGUGUCAGGUCUGCAGUCGUCUAUAAAUAGCAUCAGCCGGGUCACAGCGGGUCACAGAGGGUCACAGAGGUCACAUCAGAACAGGAAGCGCGGGGCUUAGUGCAAACUCUGCACUUUAAGGAGCUGUUACAACUCUGUCUGCUUUGGGUUUAUGAUGACAGAAUGUUUACAGUGUCUUAGUUUCGAAAUGUCGUGGUUGUUACUGAUAUCAAGCUUGAAAGAUCGAAAACGUGUUUAAUUGUUUGUAAAGGGAGCUCAUUCUCCGAGACUCAGACUUUGCUGAAGAAACAAUAAAAAUUUUUGAAUCCUA